UACGAAGGGGGCGAGCGUUGUUCGGAAUUACUGGGCGUAAAGGGCGCGUAGGCGGCGCGAUAAGUCAGGCGUGAAAGCCCCGGGCUCAACCUGGGAGGUGCGCUUGGGACUCUUGUGCUUGAGUUCGGGAGAGGAGCGUGGAAUUCCCAGUGUAGAGGUGAAAUUCGUAGAUAUUGGGAAGAACACCGGUGGCGAAGGCGGCGCUCUGGACCGAGACUGACGCUGAGGCGCGAAAGCGUGGGGAGCAAACAGG
rnacentral:rRNA from 1 species